UACGUAGGUGGCAAGCGUUGUCCGGAUUUACUGGGCGUAAAGAGCGCGCAGGCGGUCGUUCAAGUCGCGUGUGAAAGCCCCCGGCUCAACUGGGGAGGGUCACGCGAUACUGAUCGACUCGAAGGCAGGAGAGGGUAGUGGAAUUCCCGGUGUAGUGGUGAAAUGCGUAGAGAUCCGGAGGAACCCCAGAGGCGAAGGCGGCGCCCUGGCUCGCAACUGACGCUCAGACACGACAGCAUGGGGAGCGAACGGG
rnacentral:rRNA from 1 species